CCUACGGGAGGCAGCAGUGGGGGAAUCUUGCGCAAUGGGCGAAAGCCUGACGCAGCCAUGCCGCGUGAAUGAUGAAGGUCUUAGGAUUGUAAAAUUCUUUCACCGGGGGACGAUAAUGACGGUACCCGGAGAAGAAGCCCCGGCUAACUUCGUGCCAGCAGCCGCGGUAAUACGAAGGGGGGCUAGCGUUGCUCGGGAAUUACUGGGGCGUAAAGGGAGCGUAGGCGGAUAGUUUAGUCAGAGGUGAAAGCCCAGGGGCUCAACCUUGGAAUUGCCUUUGAUACUGGCUAUCUUGAGUAUGGGAGAGGUUAGCGGAACUCCGAGUGUAGAGGUGAAAGUUCGUAGAUAUUCGGAAGAACACCAGUGGCGAAGGCGGCUAACUGGCCCAUUACUGACGCUGAGGCUCGAAAGCGUGGGGAGCAAACAGGAUUAGAUACCCUGGUAGUCCACGCCGUAAACGGAUGAGUGCUAGUUGUCGGCAUGCAUGCAUGUCGGUGACGCGAGCUACGACAUAAGUACACUCCGCCGUCGGGAGGUACGGUCGCGAGAAGUUAAACUACAAGUAGAAGUUAGACGGCGUGAGACGUAGCCGACGGACGACGACGAGGGAGGUAGG
rnacentral:rRNA from 1 species